AUUGAACGCUGGCGGCAUGCCUUACACAUGCAAGUCGAACGGCAGCACGGGAGCAAUCCUGGUGGCGAGUGGCGAACGGGUGAGUAAUAUAUCGGAACGUGCCCAGUCGUGGGGAUAACGUAGCGAAAGCUACGCUAAUACCGCAUACGAUCUAUGGAUGAAAGCGGGGGAUCGCAAGACCUCGCGCGAUUGGAGCGGCCGAUUAUCAGGAUUAGGUAGUUGGUGAGGUAAAGGCUCACCAAGCCGACGAUCUGUAGCUGGUCUGAGAGGACGACCAGCCACACUGGGACUGAGACACGGCCCAGACUCCUAC
rnacentral:rRNA from 1 species